rnacentral:misc_RNA from 1 species
GAUGAAGAACGUAGCGAAAUGCGAUACGUAAUGUGAAUUGCAGAAUUCAGUGAAUCAUCGAAUCUUUGAACGCAUAUUGCGCUCUUUGUUAUUCCGAAGAGCAUGCUUGUUUGAGUAUCAGUAAACACCUCAACCUCUUCUUGAUUUUUCAAAAGGAGGGUGGACUUGAGCUAUCCCAACAACCUUUACCGGUCGGCGGGCGGCUUGAAAUGCAGGUGCAGCUGGACUUUUAUCUGAGCUAAAAGCAUAUCUAUUUAGUCCUCGUCAAACAGGAUUAUUACUUUUGCUGCAGCUAACAUAAAGGAUAAUUGUCCUCUUUGCUGACUGAUGCAGGAUUUUACGACACUUUAUGUGUUGUUCAACUCGAUCUCAAAUCAAGUAAGACUACCCGCUGAACUUAAGCAUAUCAAUAAGCGGAGGA